CACAUGCGUUUCUGAGUCUCCUUCUACCAAACAACAAAUUGGUUUUUGAUCUAUGGUUGCCUCUACUUUUCCUGUACUCCGAUUGGCCACUUUACCUUCAUCAUUGAAAUUGAGUUCUGUAGAGGGUCCAGGCCAAGAGAAAUCCAUGCCCAAAGUCCAAACAUGCUGUUUGUGAAAGCAACCAAAGAUUUUUCCUCAUUCCAUUCAAAAGGUGUUGUGUUCCAGACUUUUCCAGCGCAUUUCAGGAAUAGGUCAUGGUUGCUUCCAGUAGCUGCAGUGGCUUCCUUUUUAAAGAUCAUCAUCCCCUCCCAAGAAUGACUUGGAACAAUGCUAGGUCUGGCUCAUCUG